rnacentral:rRNA from 1 species
CCUACGGGAGGCAGCAGUGGGGAAUAUUGGGCAAUGGGCGCAAGCCUGACCCAGCAACGCCGCGUGAAGGAAGAAGGCUUUCGGGUUGUAAACUUCUUUUGUCAGGGAAGAGUAGAAGACGGUACCUGACGAAUAAGCCACGGCUAACUACGUGCCAGCCGCCGCGGUAAUACGUAGGUGGCAAGCGUUGUCCGGAUUUACUGGGUGUAAAGGGCGUGUAGCCGGGUUGACAAGUCAGAUGUGAACGCCUACGGCUUAACCGCAGAACUGCAUUUGAAACUGUUGAUCUUGAGUACUGGAGAGGCAGAUGGAAUUCCUAGUGUAGCGGUGAAAUGCGUAGAUAUUAGGAGGAACACCAGUGGCGAAGGCGGUCUGCUGGACAGCAACUGACGGUGAGGCGCGAAAGCGUGGGGAGCAAACAGGAUUAGAUACCCUAGUAGUC